UACGAAGGGGGCUAGCGUUGUUCGGAAUUACUGGGCGUAAAGCGCGCGUAGGCGGUUUUGCAAGCCAGAGGUGAAAUGCCUGAAGCUCAACUUAGGAAUUGCCUUUGGGACUGCGAGGCUUUGGAGGACGGGAGAGGGUGAGUUCGGAAUUCCCAGUGUAGAGGUGAAAUUCGUAGAUAUUGGGAAGAACACCGGUGGCGAAGGCGGCUCACUGGCCCGUUUCUGACGCUGCAGCGCGAAAGCGUGGGGAUCAAACAGG
rnacentral:rRNA from 1 species